ensembl:misc_RNA Metazoa_SRP Metazoan signal recognition particle RNA
GCAGGGCAUGGUGGUGUGUGCCUGUAAUCCCAGCUACUUGGGAGGCUGAGGCAGGAGAAUUGCUUGAACCCAGGAGGCAGAGGCUGCAGUGAACCAAGAUCUCACCACUGCACUUCAGCCUGGGUGACAGAGCAAGACUCUGUCUCAA